rfam:Schistosoma rodhaini strain Burundi genome assembly, scaffold: SROB_scaffold0010640
AUCCAACUGAUGAGUCCCAAAUAGGACGAAACGCGCGUCCUGGAU